ACUCCUACGGGAGGCAGCAGUGGGGAAUUUUGGACAAUGGGCGAAAGCCUGAUCCAGCAAUGCCGCGUGAGUGAAGAAGGCCUUCGGGUUGUAAAGCUCUUUUGUCAGGGAAGAAACGGUGAAAGCUAAUAUCUUUUGCUAAUGACGGUACCUGAAGAAUAAGCACCGGCUAACUACGUGCCAGCAGCCGCGGUAAUACGUAGGGUGCAAGCGUUAAUCGGAAUUACUGGGCGUAAAGCGUGCGCAGGCGGUUUUGUAAGUCUGAUGUGAAAUCCCCGGGCUCAACCUGGGAAUUGCAUUGGAGACUGCAAGGCUAGAAUCUGGCAGAGGGGGGUAGAAUUCCACGUGUAGCAGUGAAAUGCGUAGAUAUGUGGAGGAACACCGAUGGCGAAGGCAGCCCCCUGGGUCAAGAUUGACGCUCAUGCACGAAAGCGUGGGGAGCAAACAGGAUUAGAAACCCUGGUAGUCCCAU
rnacentral:rRNA from 1 species